UUUGUCUGUGUGCAGUGACAUUGGCAUGUUGCUGGGAUUAGUUGCGUGCACAGACACUGGGUUGCUCACAUUGGAGGCUAUGCUCAGGCGGGUGAUCUGCACGUCUGUGCAUGCUCGGUCCUUGUGCAUUCGGCUGCACUAUGUGCACUGGGAGGGGCUUUGUUGGUAGCAUGGGAGUGUUGACUGCGUGGGUGGGGGCAUGGAGAGUCACUGUUCGUCCAGCUCAGGGGAUCCUGCCAGUGGCGGUUUUAAGUGCGGGCUAGCAGGGCGGGCGCCCGAUUCGCUGCGGUCUGAGGCCGCAGUCAUUGCACCAGCGCCAUCAGCACCCGUCUGCUGCCUGCACCACAAUGCCCCACCGCUUCCUGCUCCAGCCGGCCGCCCCCCAUCCUGGCCACUUCACGCUGCCCGCACCCCACUGCGGAAGUAUGACAAGAACAUAGAGUCGGAGGACCACAGGCGCCGAAUGGGGAAUAUAUAUUUGCCCUGAAGGGUCUUCAGCAUACUACGUUCUGCAGUGCAAUAUGUGAGAAGUUUUGUGAUCUAUAUUGGGAUGACCACCUGCUUGAAAAUCUCUACAAGAUCAUUAAUGGAAAAUUCCCCCAACCUAUCAGAAAAGUGGGCACAGAUUUAUCUCUGCACCAAAGUCCUGCACAGCUGUUAAAAAAGAUUCAAAGGAAAUCUCGCAAAUACAGAAAGGAAGGGAAACAGUCUGCAAAUGAGCAGACACAGAUAAACGAGUGUGAAGAUUCUCUGGCUACUACAGAACUGGAACGGACUUCUACGUCCUGCCAGCCGCCCUCUGCAGAUGAUGCAGACCCUGCUGAUAAUACAAACUCU